rnacentral:lncRNA from 1 species
GCGUGCUGGCCUCGCCGCUGUGGACUGUGCCCUCGUGUGCGUGGACUGUGCUUCAUACCAGCCUCUAUCAGCCGCCGCCGCCGCCGCGCCGCCCUGCACACCUGCCACCAAUAUUACCACCACCACCAUCACCACCUCCACCACACCCCACACGCACAGGCGGCUGUGUGAGCACCAGACCUCCGUCAGUAGUGUAGUAGCAGCCAGCCGGCACCGCCUGCACUUCCCAAGUGUCCCAGGGUCAUGGCUCUCAUCACAGAGGUCCGCCCCCACCUGUACCACUACCCCGCCCUCAGCCAGGACUGUAUGGCGCGGGUGUGACAAGCCAGCAGCAGGAUGGCGGGGAUUUAUGCGCUCCUCAAACAUUAAUGUGAGACUAAGGUGGACUUGUAUGGUGGUGCUGCCGCGACUCAUGGCUGCUCGUGGUUCAUGAGGACAUUAGAUGAACCGCCCGAUUCAAGUUAAACCGGCCGACAGUGAGAGUCGAGCAGGUAA